AUUGAACGCUGGCGGCAGGCCUAACACAUGCAAGUCGAGCGGAGCGGCGGACGGGUGAGUAAUGCCUAGGAAUCUGCCUGUUAGUGGUGGAUAACGUCCGCAAACGGGCGCUAAUACCGCAUCCUAUCAGAUGCGCCUAGGCCGGAUUAGCUAGUUGGUGGGGUAAAGGCCGACCAAGGCGACGACCCGUAGCUGGUCUGAGAGGAUGAUCAGUCACACUGGAACUGAGACACGGUCCAGACUCCUACGGGAGGCAGCAGUGGGGAAUAUUGGACAAUGGGCGAAAGCCUGAUCCAGCCAUGCCGCGUGUGUGAAGAAGGUCUUCGGGUUGUAAAGCACUUUAAGUUGGGAGGCGUUACCAGCAGAAUAAGCACCGGCUAACUUCGUGCCAGCAGCCGCGGUAAUUC
rnacentral:rRNA from 1 species